CCCUCGAAUAACUGGACGCUGGACGGGUCAUGAAACCCCUGCAUUCCAUCCUCCAUCCCCUUGAUCACUAACCCACCUACUCCAGCUUCCCUGUCCUGGCAUUCCCCUACACUGGGGCAUCGAGCCUUCACAAGACCAAGGGCCUCUCCUCUCACUGAUGCUCCACAAUGCCAUCCUUUACUACAUAUGCAGCUGCAGACAUGGAUCCCUCCAUGUGUACCCUUUGGUUGAUGGUUUAGUCCCUGGGAGCUCUGGGGUUACUGGUUGGCUCAUAUUUUUCCUCCUAUGGGGCUGCAAACCCCUUCAGCUCCUUGGGUCCAUUCUCUAGCUCCUCCAUUGGGGACCCUGUGCUCAGUCCAAUGGAUGGAUGUGAUCACCCACUUCUGUAUUUGUCAUGCAGUGUCAAGAGAGAGCUACAUCACAUUCCUGUCAGCAAGUACUUGUUAGCAUCCACAAUAGUGCCUGGGUUUGGUAACUCUAUAUGGGAUGGAUCCCCAGGUAGGACAGUCACUGGAUGGCCUUUUCUUCAGUUUCUGCCCCAAACUUUGACUCUGUAUUUCCUCCAAUGGAUAUUUUGUUUCCCCUUCUAAGAAGGACCGACUUAUCCACACUGUAAUUUCCUUCUUCUUGAGCUUCAUGUGGUCUGUGAAUUGUGAUUUGGGUAUUUCAAACUUCUGGGCUCAUAUCCACUUAGUGAGUGCAUACUGUGUGUGUUCUUUUGUGAUUGGGUUACCUCACUCAGGAUGAUAUUUUCUAGUUCCAUCCAUUUGCCUAAGAACUUCAUGAAUUCAUCAUUUUUAAGAGCUGAGUAAUACACCAUUGUAUAAAUAUACCACAUUUUCUGUAUCCAUUACUCUAUUGAGGGACGUCUGGGUUUUUUCCAGCUUUUGUCUAUUAUGAAUAAGGCCGCUAUGAAUAGUAGUGGAGCAUGUGUCAUUAUUACAUGUUGGAAUAUCUUCUAUGUAUAUAUCCAGGAGUGGUAUAGCUGGGUCCUCAGGUAUUACUUUGUCCAGUUUUCUGAGGAAGCACCAAACUGAUUUCCAGAGUCGUUUUACCAGCUUGCAAUCCCAUCAGCAAUAGAGGAGUGUUCCUCUUUCUCCACAUUCUCACCAGCUUCUGCUGUCACUUCAGUUUUUGAUCUUAGCCAUUCUGACUGGUGUGAGGUGGAAUCUCAGGUUUGUUUUUAUUUUCAUUUCCCUUAUGACUAAGGAUUGCUGCAAACAGACCUCAUUUGGGUCCUCGAUCUGCAGGGAAGCAGGGGUUCUGGUUACAGGUGAGCAAGGAGUUGGCAUGGAGGGUUGACAAACAGACAUGGACACAAGGGAGUGUGUAUUUGAAUGUAUUUUCUCAAAGCGAGCACCAGUCUUAUAAUACGGAAGAAAAACAAGAAAGCUAGGCGAAUACAUCUGCCAAGGUACACUGGUUCUUAACACAAAACAAAGAAAAUGCAUACAUAAAAAGAUAGAGGGAGCCAGGCCUUGCUUACAACUGAGAAUAGGAACAACCCUUAAUUAAGAUCAGCUAAACACAGGAGCCAGGUGAAUGCUCUGAUGCAAAGCUAGUCUAUUGUUAAACCCACCACCAGGGGUCCUUUAGUAAAUACCUGAUUAUGCCAUUCCUCUGGGCCCAGUGAAAAACCCUUUCCUGGAUAAUACCACAUAGUGGGUACCUAUUUCCUAGGCCAUUGUGUAUUCCUGUGUUUGGAUGUGACUUGACUAUUGUCCUAAGUAAUUACUAUGUAGACUAACCCUGAGCUUUCUAGCUCUAUUCAAGUAAAUUGUAAUGCCUAAUUAGUUUCACUAUCUCUACUAGAAGUAAAGUUGAAUGUUACUGAAUAGGUAACAUUCUUACUGAAUUCCAAGCUCAGAGUUGGCUUCAAGGACUUUCUAGGACAUUGGAACACUGACCGAGGCUUAGCUAUAUGUCAAAAUCAAUCCUUAAAGGCACUUAUAAUAAAAUAAUACUGAAAGAGAGCACAGGGAUCCAUACACCAGACUAACUCGGGGACAGGUUUUGAGUCUACAUGCUAUUGGAAUGCCAAAGUUCCAGGAGGCUAAGUUUCCGUGAAACUCAUUGCCUUGUGACUGCUUCCAGGCUUUUAGGUCUGUCAUGUAGACUUCACUGCAAUGGAUGUAGCAAAGGAUGUUGAACAUGUCUUUAGGUGCUUUUCAGUCAUUCAAUAUUCCUUUGUUUACAAUUCCUUUUUUAGCUCUGUACCCCAUUUUUAAUAGGGUUAUUUGAUUCUCUGGAAGCUAACUUCUUGAGAUCUUUGCAUAUAUUGGACAUUAGCCCUCUAUCAGAUGUAGGAUUGGUAAAGGUCUUUUCCCAAUCUGUUGGUUGCCAUUUUAUCCUAUUAACAGUGUCCUUUGCCUUACAGAAGCUUUGCAAUUUUAUGAGGUCCCAUUUGGAGAUUCUUGAUCUGAGAGUAUAAGCCACUGGUGUUCUAUUCAGGAAAUUUUCCCCUGUGCCCAUGUACUUGAGGCUUUCCCCCACUUUAAUCCUCUAUAAGUUUCAGUGUAUCUGUUUUUAUAUGGAGGUCCUUUAUCCAACUUGAGCUUUGUAUCAGGAGAUAAGAAUGGAUCCAUUUUCAUUCCUCUAUAUGCUAACCACCAGUUGAGCCUGAAUCAUUUGUUGAAAAUGCUGUCUUUUUUCCACUGGAUGGUUUUAGCUCAUUUGUCAAAGAUCAAGUGACCAUACAUGUGUGGGUUCAUUUCUGGGUCUUCAGUUGUAUUCCAUUGAUCUACUGCCUAUCAAUAUACUAAUACUGGUCCCACCUUAGAUAGUCACCGGAGAGGAAAAAAAAAUUGAGUUCAAGGUUUUAGGCUAAGAUUUUGUUACAAGUGUUAUUAAUUUUUAACCAUAUCCAAUAAUUUAUAAGCCAAUAAUCUACAGCCAAGAAAUAGAGAACAUAUUAAACUCAUACCCUUAAAAAUGUCAGAAACAUACAUGUGGCAGCCUCAUGCAUUUCUAUAUUU
rnacentral:lncRNA from 1 species